rnacentral:misc_RNA from 1 species
GGCAUCCUCAAUUUCUCCAUCUUUAGCAUUCUCAUUCUCUUCAUCUUUGACAUCCAUAUUGCCUCCAUCUUUGAUAUCCAUAUUUUCUUCCUUGCUCUUAUCAUUUGGAUUCACCUCUUCCUCCAUUGCCUGAAUUUUAGCUUCCUCCUUUUCAUCCUUCACAUUUUCUUUAUUAAUUUCCUCAUCGAUCUUAGGUUCUUCUUCCAUUUUUGUGAACUCUGCCUCGACAUCAGCACCCUGCUCAAUUGCUGGUUCUUUCACUCCAUUUUCCGCCCCCUUAGGCACAGUCUCGUUGGUUUUUUCCAGUUCACUGGUUCCAUUUGUCACAGUCUCAAUGGUAUUUGUCAUUUUAUCAUCUUCAGUGGUUCCAUUUUCCACGGUCUCAACAGUAUUUUUCAUUUUAUCUUCUUUAUUGUUUCCAUUUUCCACAGUCUCAACUGCAUUUGUUUUUAAAUCUUCUCCUCGGGCUUCAUUUUUUGUAUUGUCAAUGGUAUUUUUUGCUGAAUCUUCUUCACCCAUGAUCAAUUUAGCUUCAAAUUCAAAUCUACAGAAAGCAACAAUCUCUUCACUUGCACAUCUUCACUGAAUUUCAAAGCUUCUCUAAUGGAUUCAAGCAUCGAACAGAAAGUCGUCGGAGUUCUACUGUCUCACUGUCGCUCUCUCAGCUCCGUAGACAAUUUUUUUUGUUUUUUCGGCUUCGUUUCGUAUUUGCUUUUUUU